GUCAGCAGUGAAAGGGUUAAUACGCGUAUGGUACUCAUUAAAAAUUCGUUGUCAACAAGAAUGUAUCAAAUAGUUUGAUACCCUCGAGCAUGGUAUAAUUGGCAUAUCCAAACCAAAUUCGACGAGCACCAAACACAGACACGUUUGUUGCGGAUCUACGAACAGUGUAAACUUGGUCGUAUCAAAGUUUGAUAUGGAUCUACUUGAUGUACACUAGCUUAAUAAUCAUGGUGUAACCAAUAAAUCCGUCCGUCGAUGCUUAAUAU